GACGAACGCUGGCGGCGUGCUUAACACAUGCAAGUCGAACGGAAAGGCCCUGCUUUUGUGGGGUGCUCGAGCGGCGAACGGGUGAGUAACACGUGAGUAACCUGCCCUUGACUUUGGGAUAACUUCAGGAAACUGGGGCUAAUACCGGAUAGGAGCUCCUGCUGCAUGGUGGGGGUUGGAAAGUUUCGGCGGUUGGGGAUGGACUCGCGGCUUAUCAGCUUGUUGGUGGGGUAGUGGCUUACCAAGGCUUUGACGGGUAGCCGGCCUGAGAGGGUGACCGGCCACAUUGAGACUGAGAUACGGCCCAGACUCCUACGGGAGGCAGCAGUGGGGAAUAUUGCACAAUGGGCGGAAGCCUGAUGCAGCAACGCCGCGUGCGGGAUGACGGCCUUCGGGUUGUAAACCGCUUUCGCCUGUGACGAAGCGUGAGUGACGGUAAUGGGUAAAGAAGCACCGGCUAACUACGUG
rnacentral:rRNA from 1 species